CCCUUAGAUGUUCUGGGCCGCACGCGCGCUACACUGAUGCAUUCAACGAGCCUAUCCUUGACCGACAGGUCCGGGUAAUCUUUGAAUCUGCAUCGUGACGGGGAUAGAUUAAUGCAAUUAUUAAUCUUCAACGAGGAAUGCCUAGUAGGCGCAAGUCAUCAGCUUGCGUCGAUUACGUCCCUGCCCUUUGUACACACCGCCCGUCGCUCCUACCGAUUGGGUGUGCUGGUGAAAUGUUCGGAUCGGCCGUUUGUCGCGGUUUCCGCGUCAUGUGGCUGAGAAGUUCAUUAAACCCUCCCACCUAGAGGAAGGAGAAGUCGUAACA
rnacentral:rRNA from 1 species